rnacentral:lncRNA from 1 species
CAGAAACUGUCCUUUGACAGAGCAAGUCCAGAAAGUGUUGAAAACGAACGUACAGAAGCAUGCUGCAGGAACUGCUGUCCCUGGCUUCAUCUUGCUGCCUGAUCAGACAGCUUGCUGAACAGGAGCUACAACACAAGAAUGUUUCUUCCCCUCAGAAUGCAGUCUAACAAGUGAUUUUUAUUAUCCUAACUACAAGAGAUACC